GACGAACCGAGCGAACGUUAUUCGGAAUCACUGGGCUUAAAGGGCGCGUAGGCGGGCCGCCAAGUCAGGGGUGAAAGCCCCCAGCUCAACUGGGGAAGUGCCUUUGAUACUGGCGGUCUCGAGGGGGAUAGGGGCGUGCGGAACUUCCGGUGGAGCGGUGAAAUGCGUAGAUAUCUGGAGGAACACCGGUGGCGAAGGCGACAUCCUGGACCAAUACUGACGCUGAGGAGCGAAAGCCAGGGGAGCAAACGGG
rnacentral:rRNA from 1 species